rnacentral:rRNA from 1 species
AUUGAACGCUGGCGGCAUGCCUAACACAUGCAAGUCGAACGGUAACAGGACUUCGGUUGCUGACGCGUGGCGGAGGGGUGGGUGAUACAUCGGUGUGUGCGAAAACGCGGGGGGUAAGGAGGUGAAAGCUUGGAAAAGAAGCCAUACGAUCUUAGCGUGACAAGAGGAGAGCGCGGGGCCUUGGGGGUUUUUGGCGGCCGAUGUGCGAUUAGGUAGUUGGUGGGAUAGAAGCUUACCGAGCCGACGAUCCGUAGCUGGUCUGAGAGGAUGACCAGCCACACUGGAACUGAGACACGGCCCAGACUCCUACGGGAGGCAGCAGUGGGGAAUAUUGCACAAUGGGCGAAAGCCUGAUCCAGCAAUGCCGCGUGUAGGAUGAAGGCCUUCGGGUUGUAAAGUGCUUUCGGCCGGAACGAAGGGAAUCUGGUUAAUACCUGUGGACAUUGACGGUACCCGAAGAAGAAGCACCGGCUAACUCCGUG